GAGGCGGGGGGAGAAGGACAUCGUAGGGGUCCCAAGUCCAGACGGAAGGGCCAAGGAAGCACGAGGUGUCGGUGAUAAAAACUUGAAGGAGAGCGAAAAGACAGUGGUGUAGCAUGGGAGGAUCUCGAGCUCUUGCUCGACGACCUUCUCCUUAAUUAGAGGUAUCGGAGUUCGCGAGGAGCCCGCACUCCUCUUCGUUGUCAUCGCUAUCAUCACCAUCUCCACAACCGCA
rnacentral:lncRNA from 1 species